CAGCUAGUUGGUAGGGUAAAGGCCUACCAAGGCAGAGAUCGGUAGCCGGCCUGAGAGGGCACACGGCCACACUGGCACUGAAACACGGGCCAGACUCCUACGGGAGGCAGCAGUGGGGAAUCUUGCACAAUGGAGGGAACUCUGAUGCAGCGACGCCGCGUGAGCGAUGAAGCCCUUCGGGGUGUAAAGCUCUUUCGGCAGGAACGAUAAUGACGGUACCUGCAGAAGAAGCUGCGGCUAACUACGUGCCAGCAGCCGCGGUAAUACGUAGGCAGCAAGCGUUGUUCGGAGUUACUGGGCGUAAAGGGUGUGUAGGCGGUUCCUUAAGUUUGCUGUGAAAUCUCCCGGCUUAACCGGGAGGGUGCGGUGAAUACUGAGGGACUAGAGUACGGGAGAGGAAAGUGGAAUUCCUGGUGUAGCGGUGAAAUGCGUAGAUAUCAGGAGGAACACCGGUGGUGUAGACGGCUUUCUGGACCGUAACUGACGCUGAGACACGAAAGCGUGGGUAGCAAACAGGAUUAGAUACCCUGGUAGUCCACGCCCUAAACGAUGCAUAUUUGGUGUGGGCAGUUCAUUCUGUCCGUGCCGGAGCUAACGCGUUAAAUAUGCCGCCUGGGGAGUACAGUCGCAAGGCUUGA
rnacentral:rRNA from 1 species